AACAAACCUCCGUCAGACACAACUCACUUUUCAGCCAUUCUAAAGUCUCACUUCAACGCUGGAUGCAAUUUAUCUACAGAUUUUCUCAGGGUCUGCGAUUAUGUCAAAUCGACAUGAUAGACGACACCAUUGCAGGCAGUACAACACUACUUAGUAAAAAGUCCAAAAAAAUAAGGAGGGUAUGUGUCGCUGCAGUUCAAAGAUUGAGACGUCGUACAGGUCAGCAGAUUGGUGGCCGAAGGGAGUUUGUUGUGAUCGAUGAGAGUCACUUUCGUCACAAACGAAAGUAUGGGAGAGGAAGAAUGGCUGGGGGAUGGAAAAGAAGAAAGUGGGUUGUUGGAAUGCUGGGCAUAGAGGAUUGAGGGAAAACAAGGCCUAUCUUGUGACUUGUGGAGAAAAGAUCUCGAAGACAUCUUGUUCCUGUGAUUACCCUUCAUGUCCGGAUUGGUUCUUCAGUGAUAAGUGAUGAAUGCCGGGCCUAUCGUGUACUCCCAAAUUUAGGGUAUGAACACCAUACUGUUAACCACAGCAGGUGGUAUGUUGACCCUCGUACAGGUGCCCAUACCCAUCAACUGGAGAGAGCCUGGAGGUCUUACAAGGAUCAAAUCUGGAGACUCGGGGGUAACAGAAAUGAUAGACUACUAUCAGAACACAUUAGUUAUUGAGUAGAACGAGUGAAAUUCUCAUCAGCGCCUGAGGAGUCUGUGUUAUCCUGUUCAGUGUUUUUCAUUUUCAGAUUUUUGUUUCGUGAUGCUGAAAGCUUGGAUUGUUUUGGGCUUAUGGGAGUGGAUUUGCCUUGUUUUGGGCACAGCCUCGUCUUUGGGAGACUUUUUUCCUCUUUCUCUGGUCUGCUUCAAGUGCCAUCUUAACUGGUGUAUCAGUGAGUAUUGCUGUUUGUUUUCUUUUCCUUCCCAUUAAAGAGUUUUUUUCUAGGUCCAGCUUUUGGUAAGGGUUGCACAUGUUCUGGGUUAAAGCCCAAGUAGGUCUGUGGGUUUUCAUCACAGU